AGAAGAAAUGGGAAGCUCACAGAAGGGCAAUUUGUUGCACAUACAAAACGAACUCUUUUCACAACGAUUUCCUUCUCUGUGAAUUCCAGCGCCUUACCCAAACUCAAAGAUCAAAAGAGAGACUAUUCCAAAGUCCUGCUUGAGCAAGAAAUUGGCCUCUGGGAAUCGGUGUGAUCCUGGAAAGCCCCUCCUUGGUUUGCUGGAAGAAAACCUGGUCCUUGGAGGGCGCGGACACCAUUUGCGGAUGGCGCCCCGGAGGCGGAAGGUCCCGCACCCUUUCCCCAUUCCCAGCAGUGGACGUGGGCGCUCCCGGCCGAGGGGCCUUGGCCUUUUCCUUAGCGAAUGGGUGAACUUCAGCUGAGAAGGCCCCCUCCUUUUCUUGUUUUUCCUUUUGGACUUCCUUGGACGUGGGCAAGAAUGAAGGGAUAAGAAAUGACUAAGGAAAAGACAGAAAAGGUCCCGCUAAGCCGGACUCUGUUGGAAAUCUCGUCUGGGUGGGUGAUAGUGAAAGCCCUCUGCAGACACUGCGGUGACUAAGAGGCCGAGGGGCGGAGAAUGGAACCCCGAGAGCUGGCGCAGGAAAACGGACGGCGGCCGGACGAGAACAAAUAAGCGGCCCAAGUCACAGCCGGAGAAUGGAACAGGGGUUGUCAGCGGCGGUGAAGGGGCCAAAAUGCUCGCGGGAAGGAAGGACUGAGCUUGAACAUCUUUGCUUACAUGAAGUCAUGUCUUCUUCCUCUGCUACAAACUGUUGAGCCUUUACACCCCACAGCCAGAGAGGAAGGAGGCAUGGGCUGCCCAGGCUGGAGACCAGCUUUCCAGGCUCUGUACACAACCCAUUCAGCUCUGA